UACGGGAGGCAGCAGUGGGGAAUAUUGCACAAUGGGCGCAAGCCUGAUGCAGCCAUGCCGCGUGUAUGAAAAAGGCCUUCGGGUUGUAAAGUACUUUCAGUCGUGAGGAAGGUGUUAAGGUUAAUAACCUUAGCAAUUGACGUUAGCGACAGAAGAAGCACCGGCUAACUCCGUGCCAGCAGCCGCGGUAAUACGGAGGGUGCGAGCGUUAAUCGGAAUUACUGGGCGUAAAGGGCACGCAGGCGGUUAAUUAAGUUGGAUGUGAAAUCCCCGGGCUUAACCUGGGAAUGGCAUUCAAGACUGGUUAGCUAGAGUCUUGUAGAGGGGGUAGAAUUCCAUGUGUAGCGGUGAAAUGCGUAGAGAUGUGGAGGAAUACCGGGUGGCGAAGGCGGCCCCUGGGACAAAGACUGACGCUCAUGUGCGAAAGCGUGGGGAGCGAAACAGGGAUUAGAUACC
rnacentral:rRNA from 1 species